rnacentral:tRNA from 16 species
CUGUGGCCGAAUGGUAAUGCAUCCAGCCGCAGACUUUUUCGUCGCCGGUUCGAACCCCGG